GCUUUGUUGAUUAAUUUCGACCUAUUUUCAUUGUUUCAGUCAUUUAUCUAGCGUUACGAAAUUUUUUAAUAUAAAGUUUCAUAAUCGGUUUCUUCGUUUUUAAUAAUAUAGGAUGGCGUAACUAUUUUUUACCAUUGUUACAUCAACGAUUUAUAAAAGAAGACAACGUCUAUCUACUCGAUGCAGCAACGAACAUCCAUAAGAGAAUCUCAAUUCAUCAGAGGAUACGCAAUGAGACAAAAGCUAUCAAUCGCAUCACAAUAAAGCAUCGCCGAAGAAAAAAGAUCUCCGUCGUUUACGGAACAUCCAACUGCAUACCAACGUGUCCAUAUUCCCAUGCAACGUUACGUGCUCCUGCAACACGAGGAAGA
rnacentral:misc_RNA from 1 species